rnacentral:rRNA from 1 species
CACGUAGGGCGCAAGCGUUGUCCGGAAUUAUUGGGCGUAAAGAGCUCGUAGGCGGUCUGUUGCGUCCGCUGUGAAAACUCGGGGCUUAACCCCGAGCCUGCAGUGGAUACGGGCAGACUAGAGGUAGGUAGGGGAGAAUGGAAUUCCCGGUGUAGCGGUGAAAUGCGCAGAUAUCGGGAGGAACACCGGUGGCGAACGCGGUUCUCUGGGCCUUACCUGACGCUGAGGAGCGAAAGCGUGGGGAGCGAACAGG